rnacentral:rRNA from 1 species
AGAGUUUGAUCCUGGCUCAGAACGAACGUUGGCGGCGUGGAUUAGGCAUGCAAGUCGAACGAGAACCGUCGGGCAACUGAUGGGGAAAGUGGCGAAAGGGGCAGUAAGGCGUGGGUAACCUACCCCGGGGACCGGGAUAGCCAUCCUAACGGGUGGGUAAUACCGGGCGAUCUAGCGGAGGCGCCUGUCUCUGCUAGGAAAUGAAUUUCGCCUCGGGAGGGGCUCACGUGGUAUUAGCUAGUUGGUAGGGUAACGGCCUACCAAGGCCAAGAUGCCUAGCGGGUGUGAGAGCACGACCCGCGCCACUGGCACUGAGACACUGGCCAGACUCCUACGGGAGGCUGCAGUCGAGGAUCUUCGGCAAUGGGCGCAAGCCUGACCGAGCGACGCCGCGUGCGCGAUGAAGGCCUUCGGGUUGUAAAGCGCUGUCGAGGGGGAGGAAAGCCCGCAAGGGCCUGACCUAUCCCUGGAGGAAGCACGGGCUAAGUUCGUGCCAGCAGCCGCGGUAAGACGAACCGUGCGAACGUUGUUCGGAAUCACUGGGCUUAAAGGGCGCGUAGGCGGUCGGUCACGUCCGGGGUGAAAUCUUUCGGCUUAACCGGAAAAGUGCCUGGGAUACGGACCGACUUGAGCGAGGUAGGGGCAGGUGGAACUUCCAGUGGAGCGGUGAAAUGCGUUGAUAUUGGAAGGAACUCCGGUGGCGAAAGCGACCUGCUGGACCUUUUUCUGACGCUGAGGCGCGAAAGCUAGGGGAGCAAACGGGAUUAGAUACCCCCGUAGUCC